ACAGUAGGCCGGUCUGUCGCUGCCACUUGUUGGGAGAGGAAAGUCCGGGCAACACAGAGCGCCAUACUUCCUAACGGGAAGCCAUCCGCGAGGGUGGAGUAGCAUAACAGAAAAUAACCGUCCGGAGCAAUCCGGAUAAGGGUGAAAAGGCGGGGUAAGAGCCCACCGGGAUUGCCAGCGAUGGCAUCGCCGUAUGCCUUAUGGGUUGCAAUAUCAAGUAUACCAACGCUGUAGGACUGCUCGUCUGAUGUUGGGGGGUAGAUAGCUUCAGGCUUGUGGCGACACAAGUCGUAGAUAAAUGACAGACGCCUAAGGGAAUCUCUCUUAGGUACAGAACCCGGCUUACAGGCCUUCUGUGUUU
rnacentral:RNase_P_RNA from 1 species